rnacentral:lncRNA from 1 species
CGGAAGCCUAGACGCCCGGAGUUUCUGAGCGUUCUGUUCGGACCUCCUACCGUUACUCUUUCAUUCACUCAAGAAAUGAUUUCUUGAGUUCCCGGCCUUUGUCAGAGAGAUGAACGAGGCACGGUCCGUGUCCAGCUAAAGGACAGUAGGACUGGAAGAGCGUUGUUUUCCAAGGUACAGGAUGCCGCGCCUCCAAGGAGCCGAAGGGACGGGAGGCCGCGUAGAGGAGGGGACCGUCCCCGAGCCUCGCCGAGCCUGCGGUGUAGACACCUCUGGUGUCUAGUGGUUGAGGAUCUGUUGACCGGGCAUGGUGGGUAGAAGGAACGCUCCGAGCAGAAGAAAAGUGGCUGUCGUGAAGACAUCUGCGUGUGCGGGGUGCGUGGGUGCCUGGAGAUGAAGCUGGAAAGAUAAUGCAGGAAUGAAUAUCUUCAUGUCUUCCUUUUCUUCAAUUUUUUUUCUUUCAUCAUUUUCCCAAAGGAGUAAUUUUUGUUCUGUUUUGUUUUGUGUUGUGUUGUGUUGUUUUCUUUUUUUUGAGACAGCGUUUCGCUCUUGUUGCCCAGGCUGGAGUGCAAUGGCGCAAUCUCGGCUCACCACAACCUCCGCCUCUCAGGUUCAAGUGAUUCU